GAAUCUUGCGCAAUGGGCGAAAGCCUGACGCAGCGACGCCGCGUGAGGGAGGAAGGCCUUCGGGUUGUAAACCUCUUUCAGGAGGGACGAAGCUACUCGGGUUAAUAGCCCAGAGGGUGACGGUACCUCCAGAAGAAGCCCCGGCUAACUACGUGCCAGCAGCCGCGGUAAUACGUAGGGGGCAAGCGUUGUCCGGAUUUACUGGGCGUAAAGCGCGUGUAGGCGGCCACGCAGGUCUGUUGUGAAAACUGGAGGCUCAACCUCCAGACGUCGACAGAAACCGUGUGGCUAGAGUCCGGAAGAGGAGAGUGGAAUUCCUGGUGUAGCGGUGAAAUGCGCAGAUAUCAGGAAGAACACCAAUGGCGAAGGCAGCUCUCUGGGACGGUACUGACGCUGAGACGCGAAAGCGUGGGGAGCGAACAG
rnacentral:rRNA from 1 species